rnacentral:lncRNA from 1 species
CCCCUACAAUUCUUUGUGUUCUCUCACUCUAUGUUUGCUGUGUGGAUGUUAACACCCAAGAUGAUAUGGGGAGCCAUUGCAAUAAAAAUGGCAAAACCUCCUUUAGACUGGGUUCUUGAGUAACUGAGCAGAGCUUUCAUCCCAGGCAGCCACUGUUUCCAGGACCCACCACCCAGCCAUCUCACCAUCCUAAAACCAGAAAUCUUCCAAAAUGUCUUCUGAUCCCUCAACCCUACAUCCAACCAGAAGUCAAGGACUGCAUGAGGCAGAUACUGCCAACCUACCUGUUUCAGAAGU